rnacentral:lncRNA from 1 species
UAAGUCCUUUAUCAGAUAUGUGAUUUGAAAAUUUCUCCCAAUCCCUGGCUUGUCUUUUCAUUUUUUUAACUAUGUUUUCCAAAGAGCAGAAAUUCUGAAUUUUGCAGUCACUUUUUGCUUUGUUUUAAGAGGCAAUUUUUUUCUUCCCACUUCUGUUCAGUUGGUAUACAGAAGGCAAUGGAACUUCCCACAGAGGCAGAGCCAAGCAAGCAGGACACACACUGACAAGCAGGAAACGUUAUAUUUCCAAGAUUCUUCCAUGUUGUUUUGUGUUGCUG